GCCAGCGUAGCUCAGCGGUAGAGCAACUGAUUCGUAAUCAGUAGGUCGGUGGUUCAAUCCCACUCGCUGGCU
rnacentral:tRNA from 1 species